GUGCCAGCCGCCGCGGUAAUACGUAGGAAGCAAGCGUUAUCCGGAUUUACUGGGCGUAAAGCGGGCGUAGGCGGUCCUUCAAGUCGGAUGUAAAAUCUCCCGGCUCAACUGGGAGAGACCAUUCGAAACCGCUGGACUUGAGGAUAGCAGAGGGAGGUGGAAUUCCCGGUGUAGUGGUGAUAUGCGUAGAUAUCGGGAGGAACACCAGUGGCGAAGGCGGCCUCCUGGGCUAUUUCUGACGCUGAGGCCCGAAAGCGUGGGGAGCGAACAGAAUUAGAUACUCUGGUAGUCCACGCUAUAAACGAUGGACACUAGGUAUGGGGAGUAUCGACCCUCUCUGUGCCGAAGCUAACGCGUUAAGUGUCCCGCCUGGGGACUACGGCCGCAAGGCUAAAACUUAAAUGAAUUGACGGGG
rnacentral:rRNA from 1 species